GCAACAGUGAAAAUUUUCACAUUUUCUUACAAACCUACUUUCGCAAUUUGGCGAUCUCCAAACUGAUUUUAGAUCCAUGGUUUAUUCGGCAAGUUUGCUUAGAAUUACACGUAGUAUCCUCCUAUGCUAUACGCCUAUAGUC